AUGCUCUCUGGCUUCGGUCAGCUGAGUUCAAUGAGUGCCUUCUCUUCGGAGUUGGCCAUCCACACACACCGUGAACUGUGGCUUCGGCCAUCACAAACUGUUAGUAAUGAAUGUAAUAUCAUAACAAAAACAAAACUUUUAACAACGGAUCUCUUGGCUCUCGCAUCGAUGAAGAACGCAGCGAAAUGCGAUAAGUAAUGUGAAUUGCAGAAUUCAGUGAAUCAUCGAAUCUUUGAACGCACCUUGCGCCCUUUGGUAUUCCGAAGGGCAUGCCUGUUUGAGUGUCAUGAAACCUCACCCCACUUGGGUUUUUGCCUGAGCGGUGGUGUAUUGGGUGUUGCCUUGCCAAAGGCUCGCCUUAAAAACAUAAGCACCUUGGAUGUAAUACGUUUCAUCCUUCUGGGUGGCUGAUAACCCCACAUAUUCAUGAUCUGGCCUCAAAUCAGGUAGGGCUACCCGCUGAACUUAAGCAUAUCAAUAAGCGGAGGAAAAGAAACUAACUAGGAUUCCCUUAGUAACGGCGAGUGAACCGGGAUGAGCUCAAAUUUGAAAUCUGGCGUCUUUCAGGCGUCCGAGUUGUAAUCUAUAGAGGCGUUUUCCGCGCCGGACCGCGUCCAAGUCUCUUGGAAUAGAGUAUCAAAGAGGGUGACAAUCCCGUACUUGACGCGACAACCGGUGCUCUGUGAUACGUUCUCAAUGAGUCGAGUUGUUUGGGAAUGCAGCUCUAAAUGGGUGGUAAAUUCCAUCUAAGGCUAAAUAUUGGCGAGAGACCGAUAGCGAACAAGUACCGUGAGGGAAAGAUGAAAAGCACUUUGGAAAGAGAGUUAAACAGCACGUGAAAUUGUUAAAAGGGAAACGAUUGAAGUCAGUCGUGUGGGAAGUAUUCAGCCGUCUCUGGCGGUGUAUUUGCUUCUCACGGGUCAACAUCAGUUUGAUCCGGUAGAAAAAGGCGGGAAGAAGGUGGCACCCUCGGGUGUGUUAUAGCUUCCUGUCAUAUGUGCCGGACCAGACUGAGGAACGCAGCUUGCAGCAAUGCCGGGGUUCGCCCACGUACAAGCUUAGGAUGUUGACAUAAUGGCUUUAAACGACCCGUCUU
rnacentral:misc_RNA from 1 species